rnacentral:rRNA from 1 species
GGAUUAGAUACCCUGGUAGUCCACGCCGUAAACGAUGUCUACUAGUUGUUGGUUCCCUUGAGGAAUUAGUGACGCAGCUAACGCAUUAAGUAGACCGCCUGGGGAGUACGGUCGCAAGAUUAAAACUCAAAUGAAUUGACGGGGGCCCGCACAAGCGGUGGAGCAUGUGGUUUAAUUCGAAGCAACGCGAAGAACCUUACCUAGUCUUGACAUCCAGAAAACUUAGCAGAGAUGCUUUGGUGCCUUCGGGAAUUCUGAGACAGGUGCUGCAUGGCUGUCGUCAGCUCGUGCUG